GAUGAACGCUGGCGGCGUGCCUAAUACAUGCAAGUCGAGCGAACGGGCGAGAAGCUUGCUUCUCUGAUGUUAGCGGCGGACGGGUGAGUAACACGUGGAUAACCUACCUAUAAGACUGGGAUAACUUCGGGAAACCGGAGCUAAUACCGGAUAAUAUUUUGAACCGCAUGGUUCAAAAGUUAAAGACGGUCUUGCUGUCACUUAUAGAUUGAUCCGCGCUGCAUUAGCUAGUUGGUAAGGUAACGGCUUACCAAGGCAACGAUGCAUAGCCGACCUGAGAGGGUGAUCGGACACACUGGAACUGAGACACGGUCCAGACUACUACGGGAGGCAGCAGUAGGGAAUAUUCCGCAAUGGGGGAAAGCAUGACGGAGAAAAGCCGCGUGAGUGAUGAAGGUCUUAGGAUCGUAAAACUCUGUUAUUAGGGAAGAACAUAUGUGUAAGUAACUGUGCACAGCUUGACGGUACCUAAUCAGAAAGCAACGGCUAACUACGUG
rnacentral:rRNA from 1 species